rnacentral:rRNA from 1 species
GAUGAACGCUGACAGAAUGCUUAACACAUGCAAGUCCACUUGAACUUCGGUUUGGGUGGCGGACGGGUGAGUAACGCGUAAAGAACUUGCCUCACAGCUAGGGACAACAUUUGGAAACGAAUGCUAAUACCUGAUAUUAUGAUUUUAGGGCAUCCUAGAAUUAUGAAAGCUAUAUGCGCUGUGAGAGAGCUUUGCGUCCCAUUAGCUAGUUGGAGAGGUAACGGCUCACCAAGGCGAUGAUGGGUAGCCGGCCUGAGAGGGUGAACGGCCACAAGGGGACUGAGACACGGCCCUUACGCCUACGGGAGGCAGCAGUGGGGAAUAUUGGACAAUGGACCAAGAGUCUGAUCCAGCAAUUCUGUGUGCACGAUGAAGUUUUUCGGAAUGUAAAGUGCUUUCAGUUGGGAAGAAAAAAAUGACGGUACCAACAGAAGAAGUGACGGCUAAAUACGUG